GACGAACGCUGGCGGCGUGCUUAACACAUGCAAGUCGAACGGAAAGGCCCUUCGGGGUACUCGAGUGGCGAACGGGUGAGUAACACGUGGGUGAUCUGCCCUGCACUUUGGGAUAAGCCUGGGAAACUGGGUCUAAUACCGAAUAGGACCACGCGCUUCAUGGUGUGUGGUGGAAAGCUUUUGCGGUGUGGGAUGGGCCCGCGGCCUAUCAGCUUGUUGGUGGGGUAAUGGCCUACCAAGGCGACGACGGGUAGCCGGCCUGAGAGGGUGACCGGCCACACUGGGACUGAGAUACGGCCCAGACUCCUACGGGAGGCAGCAGUGGGGAAUAUUGCACAAUGGGCGCAAGCCUGAUGCAGCGACGCCGCGUGAGGGAUGACGGCCUUCGGGUUGAAAACCUCUUUCAAUAGGGACGAAGCGCAAGUGACGGUACCUAUAGAAGAAGCACCGGCCAACUACGUG
rnacentral:rRNA from 1 species